AAACCAGCACCUCAAGUAGUCAGGAGGAUUAUUGGGCCUAAAGCAUCCGUAGCCUGUUCUAUAAGUUUUCGGUUAAAUCCAUUAGCUCAACUAAUGGGCUGCCGAAAAUACUGUAGAACUAGGGAGUGGGAGAGGUAGACGGUAUUCGGUAGGAAGGGGUAAAAUCCUUUGAUCUAUUGAGGACCACCUGUGGCGAAGGCGGUCUACCAGAACACGUUCGACGGUGAGGGAUGAAAGCUGGGGGAGCAAACCGGAUUAGAAACCCCAGUAGUCC
rnacentral:rRNA from 1 species